rnacentral:misc_RNA from 1 species
CGACAAAACAACUACAACUACCUCCGCUACUCGCAACAACAUCUCAAUCUAUUCAACAAUGGCCGGCUGCUCUUCUUGUGACAAGUCUUGCACUUCUUGCUCUUCUUCUUGUGCUGGAUCUUCGUGCUCUUGCUGCACCCACUCCAAGUAGAUGGAUUAGCUAAGUCUUAACUUCAAGUUACUCCAAUAUCUCUUCAUGUUGGUGGACACUCUAACUCUUAAUACGAUACUAUGACAUACAAUCGACGAUGGGCGUGGGGGUAUUUUGAUGCGUAUAGUACAUACUUGAACAGCAAUGGCUGACUCGUCUAAGUACUGUGGUAAUGACAAGUACAUUAUCGUAAAG